ACUGGGAAAGGGGAUAACAUUUGAAAUGUAAAAACAUAAAAUAUCCAAUAAUUAAAAAAAAUAAUGCUAAGAGGUGUAAGGAGGCAAGCAGGGGCACAGGGGAAUAAUAGGCAGGAGAUGGGGAGAGGAACAGAGAAGACCACUGAAAAGAACAUUUGAAGGAGCCAUAACAAGACCUACUUAUUUAUAUGUCAGUUAAGAGCAGCUAAAAGAGCAUCCCUGAUUUAGGAGUGUCCACCUGGGAGUUACAUAUAACUUUUUCAGUUCUUAAUUAUGUGAUGUUUAACAAACUAGAGAGAGGUUCUAAGACUUAUUCUGGACAUUUAUAAAAUGAUAAUAGAUGGCGAAAUUAUAAGUAAAUAAUAUCAUAAUAAAAAUCAUAAGGGCCAAGGCUAGUUCUUAGGGGAGGUCUUCCUGCCUCACUUAACUCAAUCUAGAAAAUCCUUCACAGGUAUGCCAGUGGUUCAUUUCCCUGGUGAUUAUAAGUUCUGCUAAAUUGAUAGUCAAGAUUAACAAGCACAGCCUUGACACAUGACAUAAGGCCAUAGUCUCCCCAUAAGGCCCAUAGGCUCAUCACUGGGUACACAGUGCAUCAAAACCCCUUCAAUGGUCCUAGUCUUUCACAGUUUCAACACUGACGAAGAGUUAAGUAAGUGCCCAGUAUCUUUUGAGUUACAUACUUCCAAAUUGCAAUCUACAAAUGGCUCUGAAUAAACAUUACUGCUCUCAAAGAAAUAAAGAAAAAUUUCUCAAGAAAAUACCAGCAUGAAGCAAGCCUGAAACCUACUAAAGGAGAUAUCUGGUAGCUAGGACUCAUGAUAGAAUUAUUUAGCCUUCAAAGGGCUUGAUAACCUACACCACUGUUUCUUUGCCAUUCACAGCACCUCUCCCACUGUCCUAGACCAAUUCUACAUCAUGCAGUCAGCUUUCUUUAGAGGACACCCUAUGGCUGUGGCAUUUCGAACAUUCGGAAGUCUUCCAUGAAACAAAUAGUCCCAAUCUUCACACAGUAGUCUUUUAGUGCUGGCUUGAAGGGAUGCUCAUUCUAUUGCUUAGCUUUAUAGGCUCUCUGAAACCAUGGCUCAAGACUCCAUACCCCUUAAAUCUUCCAUCAUUCAUGUCCACAAGCCAGUACUAGGUAGACAACACAGCUAAGCUGUGAGUUUGGGAUAGAUCAUCAUGAUCUCCUUAGAGCAUAAUUGCACUAGCCUAUGUAUCCAGACACUAAAGUAACAAUUUCCUACUUUAGAGCAUAGGCUCUUGCUGUGUAAUCCUGGAAACCUGAAUUCAGUGCCUGGAUUAAUUAAUUUAUAGAAGGUGGUAAGAAAGAACCAACCCCACAAAGGUUCCUCUGACCUCCACAUGCUCACAAUAUCUCUCUACUCACCUUGGAUAGGAAACUGCUAAAAGACUAAAAUAGGAAUAUCACCAAAGUCCAGCUAGAUGGAAAAAAAAAGGGUUUUAUUAUGGUUAAUUGCAGGAAUAUGGGUGAAAGAGCAGAUUUGAAUCGAAGGCAGUUGAAUCACCAAAUCCCACCCCAGCAUAGAUGACAGCUCAUAAUAGCUGGAAACCCAGAGCAUACUGGACCUCAUGCAGACAGGUCAACAUGUUGGAAAGUGUCCAUGUUGUCUAAGCCUUUUCUGGGAAGCUCAACCGUCUUUUAUUCAUUUUUUUUCUUCACUCUAGGUAGUUCACUGGUCUCUUCUUCCUCCAGGGUGCUUGGUUAUUCUCCGCUUCUUUCAGGUGACUGUGGUCAUCUGAAAAUCUUCUUAUCAGCAGUCUUUACUAUUUAUACACUCUUGGGGUGGGAAGGACCUUAGGAAUCUGGUCAGUUUCAGGGACUUCCUGAAGGUAACUUGCUUUGUUUACUAACUCUUUUAAGGAGCUUCUCUGCAUUAUUUCUUCUUCCCUUGGGAUAUCUUAUUGUUUUGUCUCCCCAGAGAUUCCCUCCAAGGAGAUGAAAGGUUUUAUUCUCUGAGAUAAAAGACAGUAUGUCAACAUCGUGCAAUUGUAUACAUGUGUGUUUGAAAAUAAUAAUAAUAAUAAUAAUAAUAAUAAUAAUAAUAAUAAUAAGAAGAAGAAGAAGAAGAAUAGGAAAAAGUCAUGUCUUACUUGGGCCUUAUAUUCAUGUUCACAUAAGAAUUCGUACUCACAAAUGUAAUAAGAUAAAACAAUAUUUAAAAUUUAUAUAGAAAUACAUGCAAAAUUUUCCUAUAUCUUCUUUUCACAUGGAUUAUGUUUUAUUAAUUCUCAAGUGUUGCUCCCGGCCUUCAGAUUUUAUGAGUUUAAAGCAGUAGCUCUCUGCCUUUGCUGUAGACUGGAAUCACCAAGGUACAUUCCAGAACAAUCAUUUCUAAAUCUCUCGCCAAAGACCCAGAAAUCUAAAUUUUUGUGUGUCACUAAGGGGUUUUUGUGUGCAGCAGAGGAUAAGAACCACUUAAAGGGAUUAGAAGAGUGGCUUCUACACUGAGUACAGGACUAAAAGAAGAAGAGGAGAGAGAUUUGUUACAUUAGAGGCACACAGCAAACAAUUUCUCAUUCUCACUCGUUUUGAUUUUUAAGAAGAUUUCAUAUACUCAGGGUGAUUUCUUAAAAGUUCAAAUAAGAAAUUGCUUUAUGUUCAUAAAUACCUUUUAGUUUUGUGAUCUUUGUGCAUGAACAUUUUUGCAUAUGGGACAUUAUAAAACAAAUGUGUCACUGUCUCAGUCACCCAAGCGAACACUAUAUUGGAAAUAGAGUAUUUAUUGGUUCAAUAUUUAUUACUAUCUUACAACCAUUUUAUGUUCAUUCGUAAUCACUAACAGAAAAGAAUAAUACAUGUGUGAAUAUAAUAUAAUAUUGUAACCAAGGUCAGCAGGCCCGCAGCACAGUAGAAUCAUCAGAGCACAUUCAUAAACUGCCAAACAAUACAAGCAACAUAGAGUAUUUAUUUCCAAGAGAAGAAUAGAGCAAACAAGUAAUAAUAAUAAUAAAACAGUGGAGUCCUUGGUGCACACAGUCUGCAUACUCCUGUGUCUAACCCUUUGGGUGUGUGCUUAGGUGGAGAAUCGGAGCAUGUGCAAAAAGAUAUAGGAGAACCAAGGGAAACUUGGUUGCUUUUCCCUUUUUACAAGAGAAUACUUGAGAAAAAGAAUUUUUUUGGGGGGGGGGCGGAGCAGAUAUUUUGGUCUCCAUUGAAAAGCAUAGUCUUUCAUUAUAAAGAAGUUGAGGCAGCUAGAGAAAAUGCAUCUGUUUCCAGGGAGCAGAGAGCAAUGGGUGCUUGCUGUCAAGCAUUUUCUUAUCCUAGGACCCCACAUUGUUGGCCCAUUUCCAUAGAGCUGAAUCGUCAUCUUCAGAGGCUUGCCCAGAGACAGUUCUCCUAGAUGAUACUCGAUCCUGUCAAGUUGACAAUGUAUAUUAACGACCAUAGGAUGCUGGAAAGCUUUCCCCUUGCAUAUGACAAAUAAACUAUGCUGCGUGCCUCUAUUUUAACUGCUACCAGUUUUACUCUGUGACUUGUGGGAGUUUUUACCUGUACUGUCAUGGCCGUACCCCAAAUCUCACGUAAUAAAGCGUUUCUCAUGUUGGACUUUCAGAUUAGAGACCUUACAACUGAAGUAUAUGAUGCGAGUUUGCUUCUUGGUUUUUUCCCCUGCAAACAAAUGCAAAAAGUGUUGGCAUAAAGGAUACUAAUUUCAAUAUAUAUAGGUGUAAUAAAGCAGUAUUGCACCAGAUAAGAUUUAUUGAAUGUAGAUUCUUUGAAAAAUUGGGUAACAAGUAUGUGUUGAAUUCUCAUUCAGGGUCUUUUGUGUCUCACUUAACAUUCUCCUAAAAUUAACAUUUUUGUUUACUUCCUGUGAAGUUUUCAUCCUGUCCCUCUGGAGCUAACAUUUUUGGGUAGACUCACUUAGAGUAACCUAUUGUAUUACAGUGAGAUUGAUGCAGUUUUAAUUAGUACUGAAAGAUGAGUGCUCCACUAUGUAUCUCUCUUAUAGUUGGGUUAGCAAAUGUUAAGAGGUUUUUUUCCCUCAGUUUACCAUGAAGAGGCACCAACUUUAUUGUCUACCACCAUCAUCAUCAUCACCAUCACCACUACCACCACCACCACCACCACCACCACCAACAACAACAACAACAACAACAACAACAACAAAAACCAAUCUCUUUGUGUCCAGUUCCAUGCAAUCAAUGCAAUCAGAUAACAUAUAAUAAUCUAUACCAGUUAAGGGUAAAAAGCAAUUACUUAAUAUUGACCACAGGAGCUAAUAUUUCCACUUAGAAUUUGGUGUACCAAGGACUGUUUUAGAGUUAGUCACUUUUAAAUCUUCACAGAAGUUCUCUGAUAAACCAUGCAUAAACCCACGGACAGAAGCAGACUAAGCAACCUGACCAAAAUCGUGUUCACUGUAAGUGGUAGCACUGAGGUCUUCAUCCGGGGGAUGAGACUCUAUCUUCUUUGUUCUUAAAAAAGGUUCUCUUCAGAUGUAAUCCACUCUCAUACAAAUUAGUAUGCAUAGGACCACAUCUGUGACAUGAGGAGCACUUUUCAUUGCCAGUGUUGUGAUUACUUUGUGCUGAGGUCAUAUUUCAUUGGGUAAGUCACUUCUCUCUGGAGUUCCUGGGCCAGGCUUCCUAACCAAACCUGUGAGGUCAGAGUACAGGCCAGUGAGUUGGAACGCCAUCUUUUAAAAAAAAUUAAAUAAAUAAAGGUAUAGAGCUUCCUGAGGAUGCUUGUGUUUGUCCUCAGUCCCCAUCCCUAGAAUACGCAUGUACCCACACGCCUGGACACAUGUGAAAAUAUACAGUCAGACAGACCUAAAUAUCCAUGGCCUUGCUUGAGGUUUUUAAACUCAUAUUAAAAUCCAAUGACCAAUUAUUUUUUUGAAAACUCAUUUACAUAAUUUUUCACAAGGAAUUCAAGGCUCCCUUGUUCCGUCGCCCAUCAUAUAAUAUCUUCUGAGUAUUUGCUCUGCCCUGUUUUCUCUGCCACCCACAAAAGCUUUCUUGUGAACUAUGGUUGGCCAAGGCAAAGAAUCAGUUAGGAAAAAAAAAAGCUAUAAUGUAGUAAGCAGAUGCUAUGACCACACCAAGCAGACUCUGACUCCUUCAGAGCCUUUCUACUGAACACGGUAGGCAGGCGCAUAAGUGGGACAUUUAAAGAAGGGCAGUGCGAUGCUCUUGCCUACCCACUCAGUCCUGUGAGGCUUCAGCGAGAGCAGGAACUACACGGACAGGCCCAGUGCUAUCUGAGAUGUUAACAUGAACUGUUUAAAUCAAUGGUGUGGGCAACCAAGAAAGAAAAAGAUACCUUUUAAUCGAAGGCCAAAAAUAGUUCCCAGAUAAUAAUAGUGAUUUCACCACCAGAGCAGAACUUAGGCCAGAGACAGAAGCAAGAUUAAGAGCCUCAAAUAGGACCAGAGCCCAAGGAGAACUUGGUAGAGAGAAAAUUUCCAAAUGCUUUAAAGUGGGGUCCUUUGUAUAGAUUUUCUUCUUCUCGCAUGUAUUUGUAGACAUGUGCCAUUGCCUUUUUCCCCUUAGCGUUGGCCUCUUUGUGCAGAGGAGUGACUAAAUCAGUGGACGCUGAGUGAAGGGAAAUGCUGACGUGUGAAAUGCUGAUGCAAUAAGAAAACUAUAAUGUUUUGGUACACGGGUACAUACUUAGAACUCUAUGCAGCCCUAGUUCGUUUCCUUUCACUGAUAUAUUUACUAAAGACGCACGAUGCAUGGGUAGUAGCAUUCAGCCUGGAACCAAAAUUCACAUUCUGCAGUCUUGCUUGCUCAUCUGAAAAAUCAACAUCUGUAUUCUUGUUAAAUGCUGCAGUUCCCGCCCCCUGGAAAUUACUCACAUGAGCUGCUUGGGAUGUAGUUGGUCCAGAUCUGUGUUCAUCUGGGUAAUUUAGUGGAAAACCUGCUAUUAAGCUGGCCAUAAUUUCAUGCGAUGGUUUCCCAGCUCUUCACCUUUGUUUUGUGAUGGAUACAAAUUGGCCAUUUAUACCAAGGAAUAUGUACAAAAUGAUGCAUUCCUUCAAUGUAUAUGACACACGUUAUUAGAAGUUUAUAAUUUACUGAGAAUUAGAUUCCACACAAAACUGAACAAUCCCACCUCUUUAAGUUAUAAGUAAAAUUUAAGUUUUGUGAAGUUUCCAAAAGACUGAUUUAAUUUUUUAUUUAAAAAUGUCUUAACAAAUAAUUUUUUGAUUUAAUAAAGGAUAAAUCUUUGAAAGGGAUUUUCCAUAUAAGUCUUGCUGCCUAGAAGCAUAAUGCAUGCAAAUGCUGAAGACUUCGGGAAAGUUUAAAUGGGCAAAUGAUUUGAGGUUGUCCCAGUUGUGGCCAGGGAUAGCAUUAGUGCCCAAGCAAUAGACCAGGGCGUGGAUAACUGCCAGUGCGUAUGCACGUGGAGUCAGGUGCACAUUGUCUUGUUCCUGUCUCUUACAUGGUAGCUGUUAUUCCUAGGGAGAAUUCUCACAUUUGCAAAUGACCACCAAUUGAGCAUGCCUCUCAGAAUUGCUUGGAAACCUAAAGGACAUUAUGUUAUUCCUUGAAAAUGUGCUAUUGCAUUCCUUACUACAUAAGGAGUAUUGCCUGGCCUAAGGGAUCCAGACAGGAACAGAACACAGAAGCUUACAGGGGACACAGAGAGGAAGGACCUGUGAUGUCACAGCCAUCCAGCACCUAACACUGGCAAACAUGUGGAGACAACAAUGUGUCUGCACAUUUGCUGUGCCGGAGACUCUUUGCUGUGGGUAAGGGGAAUGAGGGAGACACAGUUAAUGAGGAAUAUGUGUUGUACAUUGUUUUGAACGUCAAGUGUAGAUCAAGCCCACUUUUCAUAAUGCCUUCUUCUUUCUUUACUGUCCACAGCCCUCAAUCACAAAUUAUAGGCUAUUAAUAUUUGAGGAAAUGUUUGACCAGUUUAUUCUAGAAACACAUGGUACUCAAAAGAAAGAUCUGAAAUGAUUCAUAGUGUUGAUUUUCUCAUGAAUUUCAAAUAACAGUUUUAACCAAAUUUAUCUUGCAAGCACUUUUUUCAAGAAAGGAUUGUUUUAUAAGUAUAGUACAAUAUACCCACUAUGUGAUGUUAUUUGGGUAUAAUGGAUGAGAAUAUUGGUUUUUGUUGUUGUUGUUUUGUUUUGUUGUUUUGGCUUUAUUUUUUUUUAUUUAAUUUGAUGUGAGUAUACCUGGUUUCCCGGCUUCUAUAAUGGCCUCCCUUCCACCCACUGAAGAUCAUUUGACUCUGGUGAGAAUUGCUGAGAACCUAUGGUUUUUAACCCAGUCCCUAACCCACCAAGCAUUAGAUUUCAAAACACACCUGCUAGACACAGAAGCACUGAUUAUUAAAUAUUAAUGACCAGUUUUAUUUGGAAAUUCUCAUAGAGUUCCAUGGCGCUGUCCUUUGGAAAUAUCUGAUAUCAUGUGCAGUCCUUGUUUCGAAGGUCACAGAGCUCUUCCAUGAAACCAGAUUUGAUGUCAUGUAGACAUGGGGUAGAAUCCUGAUUCCUGAAGAUAAUAAGCAAGUGCCUCAUACUUCCCCAAAACGUGUCCAAUACUGAACACUCCCCAGCUUCAGACCGAAUGAAAUGAGGUUCAGUGCCCAACAUAAACCUAAAUUCCAGAAUUCUGAACUUUCCCAUGCUCGGGGAAGCCAUCGUGUGUCAAUUUUAUUUAUUUAUUCAUUUUUGUAACUUAAAAUGUUGUCUCAGAUGCUUUAUUGUUUUGUCUUUGAACAUAUAUUUAUGCCCGUAUAAUAUUCUUUUGCUGUGUAGUUACUUCAUUAACAAGGUAACAUUUUGAUUUAUAGGAAGUUUGAAAUGAAAACUCCAGAGCCUAACCAGAUCCAACAAGUCUUCAUGUAGUCACAAAUGAACUGGAACUAGGACGGGGAUGGUAAAAGUGUGCCCCAGAAGAGAGAGACCCCAACUAUUUUGUUGAAGAUAUCUUCUUAAUUUAAAAAAAGGUAAUUUUAGUGUUAUGUAUAGAAUUGAAGUGCUUUAUGAAAAUCAAGUUUUCUGUUACUAACAAAACUUAAAAUCCAAUUAAAAUAAAAUCUAAAUACCAUUUUAUAUCCUUGUGAAGUUGGACUUAAAUAGGAACUGAUCUUUGAACAUUAGCCUGCUGUUUUAUCUACAUAUAAUUUUAAGCUAUUAGACCAUGUGUCGAGUCACAUUUCAGUCUCUGUAAGACUUAGGGUAUACAACAGUAAAGUCACCUCAUGGUCUAUAUAAGUAAACCUUGAAGGAAUGUCUCUAUCCUAUGAGAGUUAAAGGCUUGGAGCGAUGGCUCAGUGGUUAAGACACGAAUGCUCUUCCAGAGAUCGUGAGUUCAAAUCCCUAUGACAAUUGAUAGGAAGCUCUGUUUAAACACGAGCUAUAGUUUUUGUUGGUUUUGUUUUUUAUUUCAGUGCUGGAGAUUGAACUCAAGGCCUUACCCAACCCCUGGGAGCCCACUGCCAUGAUCCAAACCCCAGGAGUAAUUACAGAAACCAGUUACAAAAAUAAGCUGCAAGCCUUUUAGACUUUGAAAAUAAACUUUUGAAAAAAACAUCUGAGACAUAAUGAAAGAUGUAAUCCGGUUGCCUGACAUGAACGAGGCCCUGGGUCCUAUCCUUGUAUCACAGAAACCAGAUAUGAUGCCCCAUGCCUGAGCUAGAUACGGAGUGUGAGGCCAGCCUGACACAGAGACCCUGUCUCAAAAAUACAACAGUCUAAAAUAUACACAGAUUCGCUGAGAUGAGUCCAUUCAAGUUAAUAUUACAGCUAUAUCUUCCCCAUACAGUCUUUUGUGUUUUUUUAAAAAAAAGUCACAUGACCCAUCAAAUUAGCGUUGCAGCUUUUCUUUUUAAAGUAGAUAGUCAGUUCUACCGGAGCUGUCAUUUUUAAAGCUGUCGCGAUGACAGAAUGAGCCAUUAUUUGAUCAUCACAGGCCUUAUAUCUCUGUGACAGGUAGAGAUUAUGAUGACAUUGUCUUCAACGUGAAUUCAUGAGCCUGAGAGCUGAAUUCCUACACUGAAAAGAUGUUCAGAAAGGAACGUAGCCUAACAGAUGCGGUAGCAAAUGGACGGGGCUCUUAGGGAAUGAUUUAGCUAAUUUCCCCUUGCGAUUACUGCCUCACACUGUACUAUACCUCUCUAGAUUAAUAUAAUUGCUUCUAAGUAUUAACUUUCUGACACUGAUCUAAUGGAGAAAGCUAUAGUGUAAGCAAACCACCUUGGUCAUAUCUGCCAGGCCUUUUCCAAGAGGUGCCUCCCUCACAUUUCUAAACACUUUCCAAAUAUUUUUCAAUGAUUUGUUAAUCCAUUUUAAAUUGUAAAGAUUUGAGUUAUCUUUGGAAUCUGUUCAAGUUGUCACUGACCAAAGAUAAUCUAAUUAGAGGCCAAUGAACCUCCCUGAACUGUCUCAGUUACUCUAGUAUUUACAUCCAGGAUUUCAAUUUCUGAAACUUGGUUUUCUCUUCUGUCAAAUGAAUACUUGGACUGAAAAGGACCAAGCACAAUAAAGCACUUUUUUUUAUUGAAACCUUCUAGGAUUCAUGAUGACAAAUAUAGAAACUGAGGUCACAAAUAUAGAAAGUGAUGUAUUUAUUGAUGUUUUACCUCGCCUAUAAACUUUCAAUAUGUCCAUCUGUUAGUUAAGCUGUAGUAUGUCUUGUAUUGAAAAAAAAAUGUUACGGAUCCAGUGGGAUUGCUGAAUGGAUAAAUGUGCUUGAUGCUAAGCAAGAUUUCCACAAUCCAACCCCCAAAUCCCCAUAGAUCUGAAUGCUGUAAAUUCAUCUACGCCUUCUAGAAGUGUGUCAGGGCACACACACACACACACACACACACACACACACACACAUGCAUUCAUUCAUUCUCUCUCUCUCUCUCUCUCUCUCUCUCUCUCUCUCUCUCUCUCUCCCCUUGCUCUUUCACACUCACACACACACACACACACACACACACACACACACGUUUGGGGCAUACCAUCACAUUUUUAGACCUUUUCAACUGUUCAAGUGAACCAUCACUUCUUUCUGAGCUGUCACUCUCGACCAUUUAUGUCAUAGUUUAUCUUGCUUACAAAAAGCACAGUUAUCUAUGGAAAAACCACACCACAAACAGCUUCCAUUGUGUUCUAACUGCAAUCACAUCCUUAAGACAUAACAACAUCUCUUCCAUUUCUCCUGUAACCUAAUCCAGUCAGAGGGCUCACAUUCUCCAUGGGGAUUUAAAUUUCCUUACAUAUAGGCUGCCUGGCUUUAAGGCUAGUGUUAGGGUUGGGGAACAUGGUAGAGAAUGCAGUGGGUGCAGGUAGGGGCAAGGUGGAGGGUUAGCUGAAUUGUUCUUGUGGAAUGAAUGUAGUUUCAUGAUAAGCAGAGCCACAAGGACAGGGACUGUGAUUUAUGUUUUCUUACAAGAAGACCUUGAGUGUCUGCGUACAGGAUUAAGAUAAACAAUGAAUUAAUAAUACCAAACAGUGAGGUUUCCGUGUUAGGAGAAAGAUAAAUUUUAUGUUGUGUCUUGUUUUGCACAUGUAUUAUGGAGUCCGGUAAUGAAGGAUGUUAAGCAUAGCUAACUAAAAUUCACAGGAACUUCAAAGUCUAUUCCAACGUUGAGUAUGAUCCGGAAGACUAAGAUGUGACCAGAUUAAGAUGAAUACAGAUGGUACAGUGCCGCAUCACCUUAAAUGAUUCAGUUAGUAGGAGUGCUCAAGGAUUAAAACGUUCAAGCAGCCUGUCACUGAAGAAGCCUUGCAAAGCUGCUGGAAAUGUCUUCACUAGGUCAUUUGCAAACCAUUAGAGAACCAACGGGGAGCUACAUAGUAAUUUAGGAUUCCUUACGUCUCUGAUUUUGUCUAAGUGCUAGUUUGCUGGUAAUACUCUGUGUCAGCAGCCUGUGGGGUCCAAGGGACGGUUUAAAUUGUCACUUUUUCCAGCAGCCUGCCAUUAUUCUUGUUAGGGACAGCCAUGUGCUUUUUACUCCACAACUAUGUAGGUAACACCAUCAUGGCCAUAGAGCCUUCCAAGUAUUUAUAUGGUUUGAAGUAAUAUACGUGUAUGCCUCGUGUAUCCUUUGUCACAUGCUGAAGUGCUCGGCUAUGUUGCUCCACGUUAGUUCCUGUUGGCAGCAUGCUUGCUCCAUCCUGGGAUCUUGUGUAAAUAUUGGUAGUGGUCUUCAGUUUACUAUUCCUGGUGCUUUGGUAUGUCCUGGUUUUAAUUUUAUCAGCAAAAAAAAAAAAAUGUAGCAUUGUAAAAUUUAGGAUGUUGAAAGUAAAUGUGAUAUUAAGUUCCUGCGAAGCUUCUCUUAUUAUCAGAAGUGGAGUCAUGUAUGGAAUUUUAAAGAACUUGCAUAAGUUACUUGGUGAGAAGGGACCAUGAAAUUGUCCCUUUUAACAAUGUUCGCCUUUUCAUUCUAAGCAUUUAUCAUCAUCAUUUUUUUUCUUAUAUAUGAAGUAGCUCAUUAGCUCCUAUUAUUUAGGGAGUUUUAAAGGACUUCGUGGUUCAAAUGCACAGGAACCAGGAAAUGUUACUUCUCCAUGACCUAGAAACACAAAAUAAGAUACACAAUUGAGAAAUGCUAGAAUCUCAUUUGUUUGGAGCCAUCAUCGUGUUAAUGGGUCUGUGUCCUUCAUCAAUCUUUUGAAUAUUCACAUGAUCCUCUCUUUAAUUAUAAUGUGGUGAACACUAGUCCACAGGCACAAGGAACAAACUGAAAUAUAAUUGAAGUGGAAACAACAAUCUGGUUUUAAUUUUAUUAUUUCCUGGCUUUUUUGGUAUUUGGGUCAAAAGGCAUUCUGUUUUUGAACCAUGCCUUAAAAACAAAAACAAAAACAAAAAAUAUCAUCUUUUAUAUGGCUCAACAUUUUGCUCAUCAUUAAGACCAUGGAAUUUCUCCAUGUGGCUAUAAGCCUGGAUUGUCAUAGCCUCAUCAAUAGUCACUAUCAACUAAAAACUGAUACAUCUAUGCAUUAAUUCUUCAUGUAUGAAUUUAUUUUGGUUUUUCAAGAUAGGGUUUCUCUUUGAAACCCUGAGUGGACUUGAACUCAGACAUCUGCCAGUAUUUGCCUCCUGAGUGCUGGGUCUAAAGGCCUGCACUACAGCUGACACAGGCAUUCAAAUCAGGGCAUCCAUUCAGUGUCCUAAGAGAUCUAUUACAGGGCCAAGCAAACCUACUUAGAUGUAGAGAAAUUGUUUUAUAAUUACUUUACCAGAUGCUUUAUCUCAUCAUUAUUAAUUAAUAAUAGAAUAUAGAAAUCAUAGAAUAGAAUAAUAGGAAUUGUCCUGUAUCAAAAAUAAAACAAAACAAAAACCUCAGGAUUCUAUUCAUAUUUAUUUUUAAGGUAGUUGAACUUGUUACAAUUCAGUUGACUUUAUGACAGUAGGAACAUCAAAUUAACCUUGAUAUCACAUUUACUUCAAAACUCUUGAAUUGUUCAAAGUGAAAAUUGUGUCCAUUGUUUUUAUAAUUGAAACCUUAGCGAAUAUUUUAAAUAUGGUCUUACCAAUAUGUUUCCUUUUAUAACUAUUACCAAUCACUCUAAGAAAAUUAGCUACAAUCAAAAAGCCAGUUUGUUCUAUAUUUUCUUAUAAUAGUUAAUAAAGUAAUCUCUAAAAUGAUUGUUUUUCUUUUCAUUUUUAUUGUCUGUGAAAGAUUUGCGGAUGUUGAAAGGGAACUUAUUACAUUAGUGUCAAAAAAAGCAAAUGAACUCCUCAUAAAACCCUUGUAUCAACAUAUUAAAAAUAGAGACAAAAUUUUGUGGUAAUCAAACAUUAUUGAAUAGCAUCUAAAACUACAAUAGAAACAGAGCUGUCUUUCAGUGCUUAGAAAAAUCAAAGGCUGCUUCUUUAAUUGUCAAGAAAGUCACAGCUGCUAUGUGAAAACUAAAACCAUCUACAUUUGUUAAAUUUACAAAAGAUGUUGCCACCCCAACUGGGGUCUGCCAAAGGGAGGACUAAUCCGCAGUGAUCCCCCAGAAUAUUGAAGCUCAUAGCUUCCUUUGUAUUGUUUCUGCACCUCAAGUUGCUAAUGGUUUUAUAGUUCUUUACAUGGCUCAUAGAAUAUUUUCAAAAGCCUGUCUGUUAACCUCUUCUAACAUUUGUUUUUCCGCCAUGCGCAGAGAAUUUCCCACUCUCCAAAGAGGCACCGGGCACCUUUAUCCAUUUGGUUUAGCCCCUGUUUGCCACACUCUCCUUUCCUUGAUUGAUCCUGUAAGACUGUUUGAUUUAAAGACCUCUGGCAGAUAAUUCUAUUUAGCAAACUCAAUAAAGGUAUUAGCAGUUGACCAGGGUUAGUUUCCUGUGAAUUUUGUGAUGAAGAGUAAAACUCCUAGAAGGAGCAGCUUAAACUUGUGAGGUUUCACUAAGUUUUGUCCUGAGAAGAUAAUUGUUACUCAUUUGUGAGAUCCUGUCCUGGUUGGGCUUUGUGGGUGUGGUUUCUGUUGUGCUGGGGGAGGGGCUGCCAGGAAAGCAUGUGACUCGAAUAGAGGGAGGGGCGAGAUAUUUAGAGCUCUGCUCCCCCCACCCCCCCCCCCGGUCUGACCCCCAUAGAUUUCAAAGGUCAGCCGUUUCUUAUAUUCAAGUUGUUGUUCAUGUGUCUGCCUGAGAAUGCCUGUGCUGUGAAAUUAUCUCCAUGUCUUCCACCCCAUAAUGAAAAAUCUAGAUCUUUAUAUGACGAUCUUUCAGAGGUGAUCAAAGUUUGUGGGCAGCAAGCAUAGGACACGUUCCUCAGUUUCUUGGUCUUCCAGAAGACUCACGGAGGAGGGCCGAUCAAUCGAUUGGUAGUUUCCAUAUACACGCAUUCGGCAAGGGAAAUAACAGGAGAGGGGAACACGGAACAGGAAAACAGCACAUUUAAAGAAAUAAAAUGUACAAAUGAAAGUGAUUACACAUGCGUAGAGUGGAUUCUCAGUGCCUACCAGGAAUGUUGGUGUCAGGGACACACACACACUCACGCACGUGCGCGCGCGCACACACACACACAAGCAUGCAUACACACACACACAUGCGCACACACAUACACGCAUGCACACACACACAAACACACACCAGCCUCCGAAUGCUCCCGUGCCUUGCAGGGCGUGGUGUAGCAUUUGCACAUCACCCUCACAUGCCUGCAGUAGACUUUACAUCUUCUCUAGAUUACCUUUAAUACUCCCCGUAAAGAUUACCUUUAAUACUCCCCGUAAAGCUACGUAAAUUGUUUAUACUCUGAUGUUUGGCAAUAACAUGAAAAUGGCUAUACAUUUUUGGUACAAAUUUCAAAAUAUAAAUUUCAAAAUUAAAGUUAAUGGGAGGAGGGGCUGUGGGAGGAGAGGGACCUGGAGAGGGGGCAGUAAUCAGGAUGUAAAGUGAAUGAAUGAAUGAAUGAGUUAUAAAUAAAUAAAUAAAUAAAUAAAUAAAUAAAUAAAUAAAUAAAUUUUAAAUUUAGUACAAUUUAAAAAUAUGUUCAUUCUGCAGUUGGUCAAAUAUUUGCAUGCAAACCCAUAGGUAGGAAGGGACAAGGCCAUAACUAAACAGUAGGACGAAUCACGAAUCACAGUGGUCCCGUGGACAUGUUUGAAAGGAUCACAGAAUUCGGAGGGUAAGGUCGGUGAGUGUUUGUGUGUGUAUGUGUUUGAAUAUGUGUGGGUGUGUGCAUCUGCUCAGAGAGGCUUCAGGUCCAUACAGGGGUCUUGCUCAGUUGUUCACCUACUUACUCUUUGCAUCAGAGUCUCUCCCUGACUCUGGAGCUCACUGGCUUGCUGAAAUCAGCUAGCCAGGGAGGGCUGGGUAUCUGCCUGUCUCAGCUUCUGCAGUGUUGGGGUGACAGAUAGACUGCUAUACUCACUCGGCUUUUCAGUGAGAACUGGAGAUCUGAACUUAGGUCCUCGGACUUGCAUGGAAAACACUUUUCAGGCUGGCUAUCUCUAUACCCGUAGCUUGCUUGCUUAUUUAUUUAUUUAUUUAUUUAUUUAUUUAUUUAUUUAUUUAUUUAUUUAAAUUUAGUGCCUGUUACAGACUAGAUAUUAUGAAGAACAACUUUGAACAGAUUUUGGUCUAUCUUUUUUUUUCCUUCCUCUGUCUUUUAAUCUUUGUGAGCCGUGUCUAUGAUUCGUUCAUUUGUUGCAUUUGAAUCUGUCCUUGGUGAAGUUCUUGGUUGCAGAUGAUUUAUAUUUGUCUUUAUCACAUAACUGUGGUAACUACCGAACCAGCUUGGCUAAGACUUCGGAGGCAUCAGGAAGUCCAUAUGCCAAGCUGUCCGAGUGGACCAUCACAAGCAUCUUUUGUCAAGCAUCCGGAUGUCCAUCGCACCUCGCUUUGCCCAUGGUUUGGACUACAGGUGGAGCUGAAUUUUUAAGGCAUCAAGACACAACCAGGACUCUCUUUCUGUGUGAGGCAGGAGUCUUCAUGGUACAAUGUGUUGUCACCGUCUCACAAGCUGAGCAGGACACCAAGGCAUGCACUAACCUCCUGGUUGUUCUCUAUAUAUGAUUUGCCUUCAGUCAAUUCACCUAUAACAAUGAACUUCUGGGAAGGAUUGGUUGCGAACUACACAUUUUGCAGCUUGAAAUUUCCCUGGAUUGUAGACGUUUUCUUUCCAAUAUGUAGUGACAAUAAGAAAAAAAAAUGGAUUCCUGAAGUCAGCAUUCAAGAAUGGAUCAUAACAUGCGACAUUUUGACGCGGUUACGUAUUUUUAUCUUGUUAUCAUCUUCGAAACUUUUCUUUCGCAUCUAAUACUUCCUCAGGGUGACUAAGUGGCAUAUUGCACAAAGUGGAAUUGUUGAUAAAGCUAGCAUCAUUAAGGUGAUUUAUAAAAUGAUGUCUUUCAGCUAAUUUAAUCCCCUGCAUCUUUAGUCAGCGCUUGUUAGUGUUUGCAGCUCUCAGCAAAAAAAAAAAAAAAAAAA